UACGGGGGGGGCAAGCGUUGUUCGGAAUUACUGGGCGUAAAGGGCCAGUAGGCGGCCAACUAAGUCGGAUGUGAAAUCCCCAGGCUCAACUUGGGAACUGCAUCCGAUACUGGAUGGCUUGAAUUCGGGAGAGGGAUGCAGAAUUCCAGGUGUAGCGGUGAAAUGCGUAGAUAUCUGGAGGAACACCGGUGGCGAAGGCGGGUCGACCUGGGUC
rnacentral:rRNA from 1 species